AGCGGCGGACGGGUGAGUAACGCGUGGGUAACCCGCCUCAUACAGGGGGAUAACAGUCAGAAAUGACUGCUAAUACCGCAUAAGACCACGGUACCGCAUGGUACAGUGGUAAAAACUCCGGUGGUAUGAGAUGGACCCGCGUCUGAUUAGGUAGUUGGUGGGGUAACGGCCUACCAAGCCGACGAUCAGUAGCCGACCUGAGAGGGUGACCGGCCACAUUGGGACUGAGACACGGCCCAG
rnacentral:rRNA from 1 species